rnacentral:rRNA from 1 species
AAGUACAAGGUUUCCGUAGGUGAACCUGCGGAAGGAUCAUUACCGAGUGCGGGUCCUUUGGGCCCAACCUCCCAUCCGUGUCUAUUGUACCCUGUUGCUUCGGCGGGCCCGCCGCUUGUCGGCCGCCGGGGGGGCGCCUCUGCCCCCCGGGCCCGUGCCCGCCGGAGACCCCAACACGAACACUGUCUGAAAGCGUGCAGUCUGAGUUGAUUGAAUGCAAUCAGUUAAAACUUUCAACAAUGGAUCUCUUGGUUCCGGCAUCGAUGAAGAACGCAGCGAAAUGCGAUAACUAAUGUGAAUUGCAGAAUUCAGUGAAUCAUCGAGUCUUUGAACGCACAUUGCGCCCCCUGGUAUUCCGGGGGGCAUGCCUGUCCGAGCGUCAUUGCUGCCCUCAAGCCCGGCUUGUGUGUUGGGUCGCCGUCCCCCUCUCCGGGGGGACGGGCCCGAAAGGCAGCGGCGGCACCGCGUCCGAUCCUCGAGCGUAUGGGGCUUUGUCACAUGCUCUGUAGGAUUGGCCGGCGCCUGCCGACGUUUUCCAACCAUUCUUUCCAGGUUGACCUCGGAUCAGGUAGGGAUACCCGCUGAACUUAAGCAUAUCAAUAAGCGGAGGAAGAA